GUAUCGCUGAAGAGUCGCAAACUAGGACGAAACAGCCGUCCAGUAC
rnacentral:hammerhead_ribozyme from 1 species